CGGGACGGGUGAGUAAUGUCUGGGAAACUGCCUGAUGGAGGGGGAUAACUACUGGAAACGGUAGCUAAUACCGCAUAACGUCGCAAGACCAAAGAGGGGACCUUAGGGCCUCUUGCCAUCGGAUGUGCCCAGAUGGGAUUAGCUAGUAGGUGGGGUAACGGCUCACCUAGGCGACGAUCCCUAGCUGGUCUGAGAGGAUGAUCAGCCACACUGGGACUGAGACACGGCCCAG
rnacentral:rRNA from 1 species